rnacentral:miRNA from 1 species
GUUGGGAUAAAAAGAACAAUA